CCUACGGGGGGCUGCAGUGAGGAAUAUUGGUCAAUGGGCGCGAGCCUGAACCAGCCAAGUAGCGUGAAGGAUGACGGCCCUACGGGUUGUAAACUUCUGUUAUAAGCGAGAAAGAUGAUGGUAACAUAUGAAUAAGGAUCGGCUAACUACGUGCCAGCAGCCGCGGUCAUACGGAGGAUCCGAGCAUUAUCCGGAGUGACUGGGGGUCAAGAGUUGCGUAGGUGGCAUAAUAAGUAGCUAGUGACAUCUGGUGGCUCAACCAUUCAGACUAUUAGCUAAACUGUUAAGCUCGAGACCGUUAGGGGUAACUGGAAUUUCUAGUGUAGGCGUGAAAUCCGUAGAUAUUAGCAGGAACACCAAUGGCGUAGGCAGGUUGCUGGGACGGUUCUGCCACUCAGGCACGAAAGCGUCGGGAGCAAACGGGAUUAGAUACCCGAGUAGUC
rnacentral:rRNA from 1 species